rnacentral:rRNA from 1 species
GAUGAACGCUGGCGGCGUGCCUAAUACAUGCAAGUCGAGCGAACAGACGAGGAGCUUGCUCCUCUGACGUUAGCGGCGGACGGGUGAGUAACACGUGGAUAACCUACCUAUAAGACUGGGAUAACUUCGGGAAACCGGAGCUAAUACCGGAUAAUAUAUUGAACCGCAUGGUUCAAUAGUGAAAGACGGUUUUGCUGUCACUUUUAGAUGGAUCCGCGCCGCAUUAGCUAGUUGGUAAGGUAACGGCUUACCAAGGCAACGAUGCGUAGCCGACCUGAGAGGGUGAUCGGCCACACUGGAACUGAGACACGGUCCAGACUCCUACGGGAGGCAGCAGUAGGGAAUCUUCCGCAAUGGGCGAAAGCCUGACGGAGCAACGCCGCGUGAGUGAUGAAGGUCUUCGGAUCGUAAAACUCUGUUAUUAGGGAAGAACAAAUGUGUAAGUAACUAUGCACGUCUUGACGGUACCUGAUCAGAAAGCCACGGCUAACUACGUG